UGUAGUAAUGUGCUAUUCUGGAACCUUUUUGAGAAUUUUAAUGCUUCAGAAAAUGGUCCUUUGAGAAUUCUUCUGUUUCAGAAAUGAAAAGUAGUCAAGAUGUGUGUGUGUGUGUGUGUGUGUGUAAAAUAUGCUCACAUAGCCUCUGACUACUUGGGAGAGAGGUGCCAUUUUUCUUUUAGAGGAAAAUCUUGUCAUGGUUGAGAGCUAAGACGUCCCCCAAAUUCUCACGUGUGGAAGGUGAAUGGGUCUUGGGGCGCAGUGCUCAGGUGGAUUCUUCCGUGGAUGAGCGCACAGCCAAGGUGCUGUUAGGAGCGGCCUGGUUGGAGGUGGGUCACUGGGGCAUGAAGGGGAGGGUGCCCCCUUCCCCGUUCCGCCCUUCUCUCUCUCUGCCUCCUGGCUGCCACAGGCUGAGGAUCUUUCUGUUCCGCUAUCCUGUUUGUGCCUGGGUGCCAGCCCACCGUGGCUGAGACUGGACCCUAAAUAAACCUCUUUCCUUUCAGUUUCAGGUGUCAUGGUGACAGGAAAGUGACCAAGACACGUCUACUGGUCAGUGGGUCAUUCUUAGAAGUUUGGAGGAAUGCACUUCGGAGAGGUCUCUAUGUUUGCCCCUGGCCUGCAGCUAUCCUGCGCCUGGAUUUAUUCCUGGUCACUGAGACAGCACGCUUUAACCCCCAGGGGAACUUAUCUGGGCUUACUGUCUACUCAGUCAAGUUCAAGUGUCUUCAGUUCAAAAGAAAAUAGUUCAAUUGAAACUUCAUGCCAUUUGCUUGUUUGUUUAAUUGACAAAAGGGGGAGAGAAUUCACCUUAAAUCAUUAGGAGGGAAAUGUAUACAAUGGUGCCUAAUGGUGGCCGCGCACGUCCACUUUGCCUCCCUGCUGUGUCUGAGGAGUGGAGGUGCCUGGGAAAUAUUUGCUGAUUAAAGGGAUGGUAACUAAACAUAGUGCACCCCCAACUUGAUGCUCAAGUUUACCAGCUGACAUCAGGUGCUUCUCAGAAUUGAUUUAGAACGCACUGUACUGGAGGAAGUGAUGCAAUGACUUGGGUACAAAGUGGCCCUGCAGUCCAGAGGAGGCCGCCUUGAUGAUUUGUGGCCCUCAGGGACCUUCUGGGGAGACCACUUCCUGCUUACUGAAAACCACAUCCCAAUCCUGCUGCUCCUCCUGUUCCUGCAUCCUUCAGCUCUCUCUGCAGCAGCCACGCCUCCCCGCUUCCUCCCUUCUUCCUCUCCUGUUUUACCCUGCGAAGUCCAGACUCCUGAUUUUCCUUUAGAUGCUGGCUCUGGGGCUUUACUUCCCUGCCUUUUUGUGUGUGUCUCCACAGUGCCCUACAUUAUCGGUAUUCACAAUCAAUACUCUGUAAUACUGCAGCAAAGUGUAUCAUUACCAACAUUAUUAUGUUAUACUCUGUCACCCCGAGAAAAAAAUGUGACCACUGGAAGAAACUAUCUUCUAACACCAAAAUGUUCAACAGUGAUGAUGAGGGACAAGACAGUAGUCUCCUUAUUUUUAAAGUGACAUAGUUGAAGGUUCUCGAUUUCUUGCAGCUCCUCCCCAAAAGAGACUAUGUGUUUGGGCACUAGUUACAUGACUAACAAUAUCCCAAUUGAAAGGCUAGGACUGAAAUGUGGUCCCUUCUCACUUCCUCAGAUUUAUAUAUUGAAGUCCUGAGCUUCAAGGUGAUGGUAUUUGGAGAUGAUCUUUGGAAGAUAAUUAAGUUUAGGAGAGGUUAUGAGGAGAAAGAGGCCCCGUGAUGAGGCUAGGUCCCUUAUAAGGAGAGGCUUAGGGGUGAUAUGCUCUCCCUCCUACACAGGCCCUCUGUUUCCUUUGUCUGCCAUGUGAAGACUGCGAUCUACCAGCCAGGAGAAUGGCCCUUACCAGAAACCAGUCAUUCCAGCGCCUGCAUCUUGGACUUUGAGCCUCUAGAACUCUGAGUACAUUUUCAUUGUUUACGCUGCCUAGUUUGAGGUAUUUUGUUAAGGCAGCCUGUGCUGACUCAGUCAUAUGUUAAACAGAGUGUGUUUAAAAGUAGUCUCCCAUAUCCAGGAAGAUUGUGUUUCUAAAUGGGUCACGGAAAGCUUUCCUCCUAGGUAAGAAAUCUCACAUCGAGGUUCUUAAGUUCCCCCACAUAGAAUCAAAGGCAGCACUGUAAUUCCACAGCCUCCUGACAGCUUUCUGUCCAGUGUUUGCUCCUUUCAAGAAUUCUUCUCCCAGCACUGCAAGUGGAGAUGGUGUUUGCUGUCGGCUGGAGACGAGACAGGUGGUCCACUCCUGAGCCGCACCCCAGCCCAGAGGCUAAUUAAGCACAUUCCACUCAGCUCCCAGGGCUCCGGCUCAGUCAGGUCAUCACGUCUUCUUUGGGAAGCCUCAUCUGGUUUUCUCGAACCUGUGCAAGAGACAAGUUGUACUUCAGCUCACCGAUUUGGAGGUUUCAAUCCAUUGCUGGCCGCAUUGCUUUGGAGUUUGCGGUCUUUCUUACUGCCCUAACUGCCAUGAAUCCUAGUCACAAGCCGCAGAUUCACGUCUGUACUUUCCGUGUCCCUGGAUCUCAACCCUUCAUGUUCCCUCUUUCUUGAGUUCAGACAUAGGCACAAGAUCUGCCCCCGUGGCUGAUGCGUCUUUUCAAGAUAAUUCUAGUAGAGAAGAGAGAAAUCUUUAAACAAAAGUUGCAGUCAUCUCUCAGAGUCUUUGUCCAGAGUCAUCACCUCUCACGUGCGUCUUUCCCCGGACACUGUGAGGUCAGCCCUCCCAGCACUGUAGCAGACAGGACCCCGUGCCCAGGGACAAUAUCCUCACUAGCACUGACCCUUCCCAGAGGGGCCAACAUCCACACCACCAUGGGAUUUCAGUAGCAGCACCUUGAAAAGAACAUAUCAACAAACAAAAUAUGCAACACUUGAGCAUAUGUAGAGAGAAGUUGUUUGGUAACUACGUGCCUAUGAAUGGGUUAUUUUUAAUGGUUAAAGGAAAAUUCUCAGGUUUAAAGGGCUGUGUAUUUCAGCUUGUACCUAGAUGUCCUCCAAAGGCUCACGCAGUCACAGGUGGAGCGUCUUGAAGGUGGCUGGAUUAGGGUGUGAAGAUGUGGAUUAAGGAUGUGAAGGUGGGAUUAAGGAGGGGGUAAUGGAAGCCCUGGGCUAGCUAUGGGUGGUGUCACGGCCUGGUUGGAAUGUAGAGGGAGUGCAGGAAGGCAGGCUUGCUGCUGCUGCUGCUGCUUGGUGCUCACUGCCUUCUGCUAGCCACACAUGAACCAUUUCUCCUCUGCGAUGCCUCUCUGCCCUGCCAUCCUGGCUUGGAGCUAGCUGACUAUGGACUGAAACUUCUACAAACUGCUUGCUGAGUAUUUCAGAUGAAGCCCGGAGACUACAGAAUGCUUUAUGGCACAUAGAUCAAGAACCAAUCCUAGAUAUUGUAUAUUUCAGCACUUGGAAUUUACUGAUGAAGAAAUAAAGGAUUAACAGAA